CGCAAUCGCCCUUCGGGGCGCACCAGGCGCGAAACCUUUGCCAUGCGCGAAAGCGUGACAGGGGAAUUCCGAGUGGUAGGGGGGUUUACCUCCCUAUCUUUUGGCCAAUCCAAACAAUUGGCAGAAUAAGAUCUGGGUAAGACCAGUGCCAGCCGCCGCGGUAAUACUGGCAAAGCAAGUGGUAUCCACGAAUAUCGGGUCUAAAGAGUCCGUAGCGGGCCUGUUAAGUCCACUGUGAAAUCUGGCGGCUCAACCGUCAGGCGUGCAGUGGAUACUGGCAGGCUUGGGAGUGGGGAAGGUCGGGAGUACUCACGGGGUAACGGUAAAAUGUUGUAAUCCUGUGAGGACUACCAGUGGCGAAGGCGCCCGACCAAAACACGUCCGACCGUGAGGGACGAAGGCUAGGAGAACGAAUCGGAUUAGAUACCCGAGUAGCCCUAGCAGUAAAUUAUGCAGACUGUGGUGUUGCGUCGACUUCGAGUCGGCGCAGUGCUGUAGCGUAGGUGUUAAGUCUGCCACCUGGGGAGUACGGCCGCAAGGUUGAAACUUAAAGGAAUUGGCGGGGGAGCAC
rnacentral:rRNA from 1 species